AGCAGCCGCGGUAAUUCCAGCUCCAAUAGCGUAUAUUAAAGUUGUUGCAGUUAAAAAGCUUGUAGUUGAAUUUCGGGAUCAAUUUAUUGGUCGUGCUAUUGUACGUACUGGUAUUAUUGAUUCCUACCUUCUGACGAACCAUGAUGUCAUUAAUUUGGUGUCUUGGGGAAUCAGGACUGUUACUUUGAAAAAUUAGAGUGUUUAAAGCAGGCCCACGCUUGAAUACAUUAGCAUGGAAUAACGAAAUAGGACGUUUGAUUCUAUUUUGUUGGUUUCUAGGAUCGACGUAAUGAUUAAUAGGGAUAGUUGGGGGCAUUAGUAUUCAAUUGUCAGAGGUGAAAUUCUUGGAUUUAUUGAAGACUAACUACUGCGAAAGCAUUUGCCAAGGAUGUUUUCAUUAAUCAAGAACGAAAGUUAGGGGAUCGAAGACGAUCAGAUA
rnacentral:rRNA from 1 species